CUAGGACUGAUGGUUUGGUUAUCUAAACAAGCAAGUAUGUUUAUUUGGUUACCAAGGCAACUACUGUAGCUAUCUAGUAAACUUGCUAGCUACUUCAGUGGAUGUUGAACACAUUUCUGAUGGCAAAUGUGUUAAAUUAUAGCCAUGGUAUUAAAGGGAAAAUCAACUAUAAUCAACAGUGGGGCAGAGGGUAGCCUAGUUGUUAGAGCGUUGGACUGGUAACCAAAAAGUUGCAAGAUCGAAUCCCCGAGCUGACAAGGGUAGGGGGCAGUAUUUUGACGUCUGGAUGAAAGGCGUGCCCAAAUUAAACUGCCUGCUACUUAGGCUCAGAAGGCCCACGUCUCCUCAUACUGCUACUCUGCCCUGGAUUCCCCACUCUACUGGAUUCCCCUCCGGACCUGCCUACCCUGUCCCAAACCCUCUCGCUCCAGCCUCAGUCUCCACACCUGGUUUCCUGCAACCCGCCCAAGCUUCCCGUGGCCUGCACUCCACCUUCCCCCUGUGUUUCAAUAAAUACCUUGGUUACCUCAUCCCAGUCUCCUUGUCUGAGUCUGCUCUUGGGUUUCCCUGUUCCACUCCGUGUAACAGUUACUUCUGUGAACGUUAAUUAUCCUCCCUCCUCACAGAGACAAACGUGUAAAUAUCUUAAGCGGAAUUACAAGGCAAUAUUUCUUAAACUUAAACAAUUUCUCCAAACACAAAUGUAAGUGUUGAU
rnacentral:lncRNA from 1 species